rnacentral:rRNA from 1 species
GACGAACGCUGGCGGCGUGCUUAACACAUGCAAGUCGAACGGAAAGGCCCUGCUUUUGUGGGGUGCUCGAGUGGCGAACGGGUGAGUAACACGUGAGUAACCUGCCCUGGACUUUGGGAUAACUUCAGGAAACUGGGGCUAAUACCGGAUAGGAGCUCCUGCUGCAUGGUGGGGGUUGGAAAGUUUCGGCGGUUGGGGAUGGACUCGCGGCUUAUCAGCUUGUUGGUGGGGUAGUGGCUUACCAAGGCUUUGACGGGUAGCCGGCCUGAGAGGGUGACCGGCCACAUUGGGACUGAGAUACGGACCAGACUCCUACGGGAGGCAGCAGUGGGGAAUAUUGCACAAUGGGCGGAAGCCUGAUGAAGCAACGCCGCGUGCGGGAUGACGGCCUUCGGGUUGUAAACCGCUUUCGCCUGUGACGAAGCGUGAGUGACGGUAAUGGGUAAAGAAGCACCGGCUAACUACGUG